CCUACGGGAGGCAGCAGUGAGGAAUAUUGGUCAAUGGACGAGAGUCUGAACCAGCCAAGUAGCGUGAAGGAUGACUGCCCUAUGGGUUGUAAACUUCUUUUAUAUGGGAAUAAAAUGUUCCACGUGUGGGAUUUUGUAUGUACCAUAUGAAUAAGGAUCGGCUAACUCCGUGCCAGCAGCCGCGGUAAUACGGAGGAUCCGAGCGUUAUCCGGAUUUAUUGGGUUUAAAGGGGGCGCAGGCGGAUUUUUAAGUCAGCGGUCAAAUCGUGGGGCGCAACCCCAUCCAGCCGUUGAAACUGGGGAUCUUGAGUGUGCGAGAGGUAUGCGGAAUGCGUGGUGUAGCGGGGAAAGGCAUAGAUA
rnacentral:rRNA from 1 species